GGGCGGGGCACGGAGCGGGGCCAGAGGUGGGGCGGGGCCUUGAGUGCCUUCCAGUGGGAGGAUGGACUGGGAGGUCAGGGUCCGAGGGGUCUCCCGGGAUGUGGAUUUUUCAAGGCUAACGUUGAGAUGAUCCGUAGCAAACUGGGAAUUUCAUCACCCUACCGGAUGGAUGGACAGAGGACUAGAUGGGGAUGGAUGGAAAGACGGACAAAAGAGUGACUGUAGACGGGAAAUGAGCUGUCACUUUCUUUAGUCCACCCGCAGAUGUUAAAAAGAGCUGGACCAACUCAUGUUUUCCAGGAUGCAAGGAAACGGAUUCAUCCAGACAUUAUUGACAAAGAAGAAUCUACACUUGUGAAUUUUCAUAAGACUUCAACUUUGAUGACCGCAGACAACUCCAAGUGUACACCCUAAGGCGGAGGCCGCCAUUCCUGAGUGAGUCUAGUCCAAGUUCACUACAUAACAAUCAUCACUCCAUGUGAGUAGAAGCCACAGCUCUGUAAAGGGGGGU